AAGGUCAAGGUCCAGGUACAGAAGAUCCAGAAGAGGGAAAAAUGGAAGGUCAAGCUUCUCGUGGAGAAGAUUCUGAUUCCAGACAACCAGGCAGUACAGAAGACAGAGAAAUUCCAAUAGAGGGAAAUCAAGG